AGUGAACGCUGGCGGUAGGCCUAACACAUGCAAGUCGAACGGCAGCACAGUAAGAGCUUGCUCUUACGGGUGGCGAGUGGCGGACGGGUGAGGAAUACAUCGGAAUCUACUUUUUCGUGGGGGAUAACGUAGGGAAACUUACGCUAAUACCGCAUACGACCUACGGGUGAAAGCAGGGGAUCUUCGGACCUUGCGCGAUUGAAUGAGCCGAUGUCGGAUUAGCUAGUUGGCGGGGUAAAGGCCCACCAAGGCGACGAUCCGUAGCUGGUCUGAGAGGAUGAUCAGCCACACUGGAACUGAGACACGGUCCAGACUCCUACGGGAGGCAGCAGUGGGGAAUAUUGGACAAAGGGCGCAAGCCUGAUCCAGCCAUACCGCGUGGGUGAAAAAGGCCUUCGGGUUGUAAAGCCCUUUUGUUGGGAAAGAAAGGCAGCAGGUUAAUACCCCGCUGUUCUGACGGUACCCAAAGAAUAAGCACCGGCUAACUUCGUG
rnacentral:rRNA from 1 species